GCCACGGUGGCAUAGUGGUUAGCACGUUUGCCUCACACUUCCAGGGUCCGGGGUUCAAGGCCCGCCGAGGCC